rnacentral:lncRNA from 1 species
CUAUUUUGAAAAACUUCAGAUCACACUGUCUUAAGACAAUCGAUUUUUAAACAUGCACAAUCGAUUGUUGAACAUUCACAAUCGAUUGUUAAACAUACACAAUCAAUUUUUUGCUAUUUUGAAAAACUUCAGAUCACAUUGUCUUAAGACAAUCGAUUGUUUUGCAGUUUUAAUGCGAAAUGUUAGAUAAUCGACCAACUGUUAGGUUAGUCGAUUACCUCUACUGGAAAAUAAAAAAUUAUUGAAAUCUGAGCAUAUUGAAACAUUCUAAAGAACUAAU